rnacentral:lncRNA from 1 species
AUGAGAGGCAGGGAACAGACGGUACUUCCGGAACCUGGGCAGUGCUUCCUACUCUGGCUGUGGGCCUCAAGUCCAAGGAGUUUGACUCAAAUCCACGCUCUUCCACAUGCAAGCAGUGUCCAAGGUGUGCCUGUGUCCCUCACUGGUGCAGUACAGUUGGUACCGCAUGAGGUUCAGGUGAGUAUAGUCGGUGCUCAUCAAGCAGUAGCCAGCAAUAAUAUUUAUUGACACCCUUACUUAUUUUCCAGAGAACUAGGACAAAUUAUAUAUAUGUAUAUAUUCCUGUAAAUGUAAGUUGUACACCUCGAGCACUGUUUGAGAUAUAACCUUAUUUACAAAACACUACAGAAGAUUCUGAACAGACCAAUGGUGAGGAAGUAUGGGGCAGUCAAAAAUUCCAUUUACUCCUCUCUCAAUCUCAGUUUCCUCAUCUCUAAAAUGGGCAUAAUACAGCAAAAACAGAAAUCAUCUACUACCAGUGAGUUAAGCAUAAAUAGUUUAAAUAACUGAGAAUUAUUAUUUUGUGGGAGCCAUCGGUUUUUGUUUUUGUUUUCCCCCACUAGUAUUAAGGAUCGAAAUUAGGACCUCGUGCUUGCCAGGCAGGCACAGUGCCAACUGAGCUAAAUCCCCAGUCCUGUCGUGAGCUUUUUCGUGAAGCUACAACCUCUUUCCCAGAGGUAUACACACACAUACACACAUGCACACAUGUGAUGUUGCAUACCAUUUCAUAGGUACAUAGGACAGGUCUAAACUAAACUUCCCCGAUAAAAACAG